rnacentral:misc_RNA from 1 species
AACGCACGAGACCUGCGGACCUGCGGAGGGAUCAUUAAAAGAGGGUCGCAAGACCCAUUUUUAAAACCUACCACCGUCUUAUCGAUGGAGGUAUGGUUUUUUAAAAUCCAAUUAUUACAAAUAUAUCGUCUAACGACGAAACAAAAAAUUAUUUAAAAACUUUUAACAAUGGAUCUCU